rnacentral:rRNA from 1 species
UCGGAAUUUUGCGCAAUGGGGGAAACCCUGACGCAGCAACGCCGCGUGAAGGAUGAAGGCCUUCGGGUCGUAAACUUCUUUUAGUAAGGAAGAAAUAAAUGACGGUACUUACAGAAAAAGCACCGGCUACCUUCGUGCCAGCAGCCGCGGUAAUACGAAGGGUGCAAGCGUUAUUCGGAAUCACUGGGCGUAAAGAGCUCGUAGGCUGUUAAUUUAGUCGGAUGUGAAAUCCCUGGACUCAAUCCAGGACGUGCAUCCGAUACUGAUUGACUAGAGUGCAGGAGAGGAAAGCGGAAUUCCAGGUGUAGAGGUGAAAUUCGUAGAUAUCUGGAGGAACAACAGAGGCGAAGGCGGCUUUCUGGACUGUCACUGACGCUGAGGAGCGAAAGCGUGGGGAGCAAAC